GACGAACGCUGGCGGCAUGCCUAAUACAUGCAAGUCGAGCGAACAGAUGAAGUGCUUGCACUUCUGACGUUAGCGGCGAACGGGUGAGCAACACGUAAGGAAUCUACCUAUAAGCGGGGGAUAACAUUCGGAAACGGGUGCUAAUACCGCAUAAUAUCUUCUUCCGCAUGGAAGAAGAUUGAAAGACGGCUCUGCUGUCACUUAUAGAUGACCUUGCGGUGCAUUAGUUAGUUGGUGGGGUAAUGGCCUACCAAGACGAUGAUGCAUAGCCGACCUGAGAGGGUGAUCGGCCACAUUGGGACUGAGACACGGCCCAAACUCCUACGGGAGGCAGCAGUAGGGAAUCUUCCGCAAUGGGCGAAAGCCUGACGGAGCAAUGCCGCGUGAGUGAAGAAGUCCUUCGGGUCGUAAAACUCUGUUAUAAGAGAAGAACAAAUUGUAGAGUAACUGCUACAGUCUUGACGGUAUCUUAUCAGAAAGCCACGGCUAACUACGUGCCAGCAGCCGCAGUA
rnacentral:rRNA from 1 species